rnacentral:rRNA from 1 species
AUUGAACGCUAGCGGGAUGCUUUACACAUGCAAGUCGAACGAGUGGCGGACGGGUGAGUAAUAUAUCGGAAUGUGCCCAGUAGCGGGGGAUCACUACUCGAAAGAGUGGAUAAUACCGCAUAAUAUUGGAACGGCAGAUAUCGGAUUAGCGAGGUGGGGGGGUAAGGGAGCACAAAGGCAACGACCCGUAGCUGGUUUGAGAGGAUGAACAGCCACACUGGGACUGAGACACGGCCCAGACUCCUACGGGAGGCAGCAGUGGGGAAUUUUGGACAAUGGGGGAAACCCUGAUCCAGCCAUCCCGCGUGUAUGAGAAGGCCUUCGGGUUGUAAAGUACUUUUGGCAGAGAAGCGGUAUCUGCAGAAUAAGCACCGGCUAACUACGUGCCAGCAGCCGCGGUAAUAC